UCAAAUUUGUAAUCUGGCUGUCUUCGAUAGUCCGAGUUGUAAUCUAUAGACGUGUUUUCCGUGCUGGACCGUAUCUAAGUCCCUUGGAACAGGGUAUCAAAGAGGGUGACAAUCCCGUGCUUGAUACGACCACCAGUGCUCUGUGAUACACGCUCUACGAGUCGAGUUGUUUGGGAAUGCAGCUCAAAAUGGGUGGUAAAUUCCAUCUAAAGCUAAAUAUUGGCGAGAGACCGAUAGCGAACAAGUACCGUGAGGGAAAGAUGAAAAGCACUUUGGAAAGAGAGUUAAACAGUACGUGAAAUUGUUGAAAGGGAAACGAUUGAAGUCAGUCGUGUUCUUUGGAUUCAGCUAGUUCUUCUAGUCUACUUCCUUUGAACGGGUCAACAUCAGUUUUGUCCGGUGGAUAAAGAUAGUAGGAAUGUAGCUCCCUCGGGAGUGUUAUAGACUAUUAUUGCAUGCACUGGGUGAGACUGAGGACUGCAGCUCGCCUUUUGGCCGGCCUUCGGGUACGUUCGAGCUUAGGAUGUUGACAUAAUGGCUUUAAACGACCCGUCCUUGAAACAC
rnacentral:rRNA from 1 species